UCCUUGGAGGACUAGUGGUUAGGCCACGGCACUCUCACCACUGUGACCUGGGUUUGAACCCCAGUCAGGGAA